CCAAGCUGGACCACUGAAGACUUUGACGGCUCUGAGUGGGAAGGUUCUCUGCAUCCCCCGCAGGAAAGUUUACUACUACCAGUUACCGUGGGAGACACCAAAGACAAAUCAUUUGUUUCUGUGAAGAUCAUCUCCUGAGAAAUGUGUGCCUGUACCUACCUUCAUUCAAUGACUACUUAGCUGAGGUUAUCCAAAAGGACAUCAAUUUAAUCCUUUUGUUGAGGGCCAAGAGGUAUAGGGCAAACUGAUGAAGGCCUGAUGAAACGGAUGAGUAUUAAUGCAGAGAAACGUGUUGCAUUAUUGAAGGGGAGCUUACUUAUGCCCCCUCAUACCUGCUGCUAUUGUUUUUAAAUAAAAUACUUUUUUUAACCUGA